CAAUUGUACCAUUGACAUACUAUACUAUACUAUAGGUGUAGUGUGUCAAUGGCUUACACCCUUUAUCUCACAUUUCACUCAUCAACUGCUGAUCGGCAGAAUGUUUAGAAUUUAGAAAUCAUAAUGACAGGUAAUGUUUUCCAUCUCAAUAUCAAAGUAGUUUUUGGUUUAGUUUUGUUUUCGUUGUGUAUUGUUAUUGUUGUGUACUAAAUUUAAAUAAAUAAAUAAUUUAUUGGAAAUGUCAAUUCAUUUGUUUAUGUUUAUCAAAAUUUAACAAUGAACAGUAAAAAUUUUAACAAUAAAUCUGUGGAAGAGCUUCUAAAAAGUUCCAAGCAAAUGCAAAAUAAAAUGCGAAAGGAAUUCAACCUACAAACAAAGGAAUCCUAUGUAAUUUCCAAGUUGCCAAAACCACAGCCUUUGUCGACAUCCUUGGAUAAUGCUACACUAAAAACCUGUGAAGAUAACGCUGUUGUAGGUUCUAUUCAAAAGAAAAACAAAUCAAGAUUAUCCAAGAAAUCAAAUAUUCCAAAUGAAAAGCCACUGCGUGGAGUAAAAAUAAAAACCAAACCAUUGCUUCUUGAUUCAAAUAAAAAAGUAGGUUUAAACGAGUCUUUUUCUAGCCUUCGAAGAUCUUUAGCUUCUGCAGAUAAACUCUCAAAAAAAAUAUCCUCACCUCUGUCGUCGAUUGCUAAACUUAAAACAAAUGAAAAUUUUAAUGAAAGCAGUAAAAUUAGUUUGCAAUCAAAAAAACUCCUCGCAACAAGCUCAUGUCGGCUUCCAUUGCAGAGAUUUGCUGAUCCUUCAAACAGGAACAUUGACUUCUUUGAAGAACAUCCCCAUUUAGAAUUGGACAUGACAUCUAAGCAGAGAACCUUGUUUCCAAGGCGUUUCCAUAAGUCAAAUGAGUAUAUUUUCAAAAAUGACGCUGAGUGCUUAAAUGAAGUCGAAGCAGAAGUAAAGCCACCACAAAAAACUCAAGAUGUAGUAGUAUCUGACACUUGGAAAUACAUUCUCCAGAAAAACAAACUCAAAAGCAAAAGCACACAAACAAUUGUUCGCUUGAAAAAGACAAAAGAAAAUGUCUUGAAUAUUGCCAAACCUGUGCCACAAAUUCAAAAACCAGAAGAGAGCUAUGAUGUUAUUGCUUCAAAUCCUUCUAAAGGUUUCUUUAAGCUUCAGAAGAAAUCCCAGCAUUUAGAUGAACAAAAAAAAUUUAAUAUUGAAAGGUUUCCUGUUCUUUACAUCAGACCAGAAUGCAAAGUCCAAAAGGUUACAAACAUUUCCAUCUGUGGUAAGACUGAAAGCGUUUUAGGAUCUACGGCAGGGGAAAAUUAUUCAAGCAAUGUUAGGUACAUCGAAUGCAGGCAUGAAGAUAGAGUCAAAACUUUUGAACAAAAAAUUAUUCCACCCGAAAUUGAAAUAGAUGCAAAAGAAAAAGAUACCAGAACGGAAGCUAAUGCAACGAAAAACAAUAAAUUCUUUAAAGCGCUCGAAUUCAACUAUUUUAAUGAGCACUCUGCAACAAACAGUGAAUCCUCUCCACUCCAAAGGGAAUCAAUUUCUUCCCGUCGAUCAUUUUCAUCACUAAGUUCAUCAAGUUCCUCAUUGAAAAAUGUAAAUCCCACUUCGACAGUUCACAAAAUUCAACACAGAGUACGGUCGCCUUCAGAUAGUCCUUUAUUAACUAGGAACAAAAAGAAUUCCAUAAAGAAAUCUCAAAGUCGAUGUAAUGAAGUACUUAAAAGCCGAAGUGAAGUGUACGUGCAAACAGAAAACGAGUGCCAACAAUCAAUUUUAAAAAUAGCAUCACCUUUGCAGAAUCAAGCAAAAUCAUCUCCUCAGUCAGAGUUGCCCACAUCGAUGAAUAAUAUUGAUAAUUCAUUGAAUAAAACCGCUCCUCUUCAUAAAUUAGAGUAUCCAGCUGAAGAUGACAUCAUAGCUAAGAUAUUUCAAAGAAUACUAAACGACCUACCUGAUGCAUUGGAUAAAUACAACAAUCGUAAAAACUUCACCGCAAAUGGUACUACAUCUGUCUCAAAAAAAUGUUCAUCCAAAAAAGAGCAUAAUCAAGAAGAGAACAAUCAAGAAUACCAAAAUCCAACGCCUGUCCAUAAUGAAGAGUUAGAUGUUUCAAAACUGGUUAUAAAUGAGAAGGAAAAAAUCGAAGAAGUCAAUCUUUCCGAUAACUACUCUACACUUGGACAACAAAGGAAGGAAUUUUCACAACAAAAUCCAUCAAUCGUUCAAAAUAUAAAAGCGAUUAAAACAGACACUAAAAGCAAAAAUCCUGUAAAGCAAACAUGUCCUAAAGAAGCAGAAAUAAAACGUGCUGUAAAGAUUUUUCUUGAUACACUAACACUUGAUGACAAUGUUGAAAAGAAUGCAAUUUUAAAAGACAGUUUCACUGAAAACAGAUCCAUGACAUUUCCUAAAUUAAAAUUAAUUGGUGGUGACAGACCUAAAAGUUAUAUAAAUUCUGAAUCCUCAAGUACUUCCAAUAGUCUAACAGGAAUGCCUAGAAAAGUCAAAAGAAACAAAAACAGAGCAGUUUUUUGGAGAAAUAUUUCUGGAUCAUCUACAUCAAUAGGUCUGUCUUCAACUGAUUUGGAUUUAGAAAGCGAUGCAACAGACAACAUAUCAUCUAUCUCAUCAACCAAAACCAAAUAUACAUCUGAUGGAGAGAUUAAGAGCUUAGGUGAAAUAUGAGUGCGGUUAGAAAAAUUUGUUGGACCCAUUCCUCAAAAAAGGUCAUGUAAGUAUGUAUACGGAUACUCAAAAAGUUCUAGUAGCAAUUAAAAGUCCAUCACGUUGACAGUGCGGGCGACUUAAAUUUCAAAACAGCCCUGCAUCAAAACAAUAUACAAAGUAAUAGAAAGACGUCUCUGAUAUAUG